GUGCCUGAUGAGCUGUGCCCCAGAGGGACUCCCUCACAGCCAGAGCAAGCGUCCCCAAGAUGAUGUCCCAUGGGGCCCCGGGCUCUUAAAGAAAUACGUGGAAGAUCAGGAGCCUCUCAAACAGAGAGGUGGGCUUUGAGAUGGGCAGUGAGAUGAUCCACCUCUGCGCGGAAAGUUCUCUCUGAGUGCAGUGUGGAGCGAGCAAGGGAGGAGGCCGUGAGAAGCCAGCAGGUGCCGGAGCUGUCAAGGGGAGCUGGGGUCAGGCAGGAACCGGGGGGGCAGAGAAGGGGUGGGGCCCAGGGCCUAUGGGGAGGGCAAACAGCAAGGAGUCCCAGAUGGAUUCAAGGCCUGUCGUCUGCUCACUCAGCCCCCAGGAGUGGCCCCAGGUGCCCAGGGCAGGACAAGGAGGAGAUAGACCCAUCCCCACCACUGCAAAGAGUAGCGCAAAGGACUAGACACCUGCUUUUGGGGGGCCCGCGCAGGGUGCAGUGGGAUCCUGUGAUGGCCCGAGAUGGGAUGAUGCUGGUCUUUGCAACCGUGAUCAAGUCAAGAUGAGGUCCUAUGAUUGGGAGGCGUCCGAAUCCAAUGACGGGCGUCCUUCUGAGAAGAAGCAAACUGGGACACAGACAUACGCAGAAGGGACACUUCUACGUGAAGAUGGAGGCAGAGACGGCAGUGAUGUAUCUAGAAACAGAGGAAGCCGGAGGGGUGCCGCCUGAAGCCAGGAGCUGGGCAUGGAGCUGGUUCCCCCUGGAACAUCGGAGGGAACGUGGUCCUGCUGACACGGACACGUCAAGUUCACACUUCCAGCCUCCAGAGCUAAGCAGCCAGACGGGCAAAACCCAGAGACACCCAAUGCUGGACUCUCAGCUCCUUCCCUGGCCUCUCUGGCUCCCUCUGGACCCUGCAGAACAUUCUGGAGCAUCUUCUCACAUCUGCAGACCCCUGCAGCCUGUCUUGUGGUUGCAAAGACACCAGGGAGAAGCUGCUCUAGUGGGUACUCGCUCUGCAAGGAGCUGGCUGCACAAGGGCUGCUCAGUAAAGUGAGAUGAUAAGAGUCAAGGGAGAUGAUCCCAAGGAAAAGGGCCCAGGGUCCUAGUGGACCCCCAGCUAAACACGACCAAGUGAUAAACAGGUCUUGAGAUUUGAUGGAUGAACAAUUCUAUCCUAGUGAUUAGGUGAGAAGCCAAGUGUACCAUUUUGAA